CUAAGAACCACUGAUCUAUACAACGUACUUCUAGGAAGCCAUAAACAUAAACAGAAGAAAUAUCAGAGAAUUUAAAUAAUUCACCUAAGGUCGCACAAUUGCCUCACAAGCCCCACUUUGCUGUUGGUCUGGUCAAGAAGAUUGCUGUUGAUGGUAAUUCAGUAACGGAUACUAACUUAGCCAGGAU